GACGAACGCUGGCGGCGUGCUUAACACAUGCAAGUCGAACGGUAAGGCCCUUCGGGGUACACGAGUGGCGAACGGGUGAGUAACACGUGGGUGAUCUGCCCUGCACUUCGGGAUAAGCCUGGGAAACUGGGUCUAAUACCGGAUAGGACCACUGCCUGCAUGGGUGGUGGUGGAAAGCUUUUGCGGUGUGGGAUGGGCCCGCGGCCUAUCAGCUUGUUGGUGGGGGGAUGGCCUACCAAGGCGACGACGGGUAGCCGGCCUGCGAGGGUGACCGGCCCCACUGGGACUGAGAUACGGCCCAGACUCCUACGGGAGGCAGCAGUGGGGAAUAUUGCACAAUGGGCGCAAGCCUGAUGCAGCGACGCCGCGUGAGGGAUGACGGCCUUCGGGUUGUAAACCUCUUUCAGUAGGGACGAAGCGCAAGUGACGGUACCUACAGAAGAAGGACCGGCCAACUACGUGCCAGCAGCCGCCGCAG
rnacentral:rRNA from 1 species